rnacentral:rRNA from 1 species
AUACGGAGGGUGCAAGCGUUAAUCGGAAUUACUGGGCGUAAAGCGCGCGUAGGCGGAUAUUUAAGUCUCAUGUGAAAGCCCUGGGCUCAACCUGGGAACUGCAUGGGAUACUGGGUAUCUAGAAUACAGUAGAGGGUAGUGGAAUUUCAGGUGUAGCGGUGAAAUGCGUAGAGAUCUGAAGGAACAUCAGUGGCGAAGGCGACUACCUGGACUGAUAUUGACGCUGAGGUGCGAAAGCGUGGGGAGCAAACGGGAUUAGAAACCCGGGUAGUCC